AGAGUUUGAUCAUGGCUCAGGAUGAACGCUAGCUACAGGCUUAACACAUGCAAGUCGAGGGGAAACGACAUCGAAAGCUUGCUUUUGAUGGGCGUCGACCGGCGCACGGGUGAGUAACGCGUAUCCAACCUGCCCACCACUUGGGGAUAACCUUGCGAAAGUAAGACUAAUACCCAAUGACGUCUCUAGAAGACAUCUGAAAGAGAUUAAAGAUUUAUCGGUGAUGGAUGGGGAUGCGUCUGAUUAGCUUGUUGGCGGGGUAACGGCCACCAAGGCGACGAUCAGUAGGGGUUCUGAGAGGAAGGUCCCCCANAUUGGAACUGAGACACGGUCCAAACUCCUACGGGACGGCA
rnacentral:rRNA from 1 species